ACUGAACGCUGGCGGCAUGCUUUACACAUGCAAGUCGAACGGUAACAGGCCUUCGGGUGCUGACGAGUGGCGAACGGGUGAGUAAUGCAUCGGAACGUGCCCAGAGGUGGGGGAUAACGCAGCGAAAGCUGUGCUAAUACCGCAUGUGAUCUGAGGAUGAAAGCGGGGGACCAGGCAGCAAUGUUUGGCCUCGCGCCUUUGGAGCGGCCGAUGUCAGAUUAGGUAGUUGGUGGGGUAAAGGCCUACCAAGCCGACGAUCUGUAGCUGGUCUGAGAGGACGACCAGCCACACUGGGACUGAGACACGGCCCAGACUCCUACGGGAGGCAGCAGUGGGGAAUUUUGGACAAUGGGCGCAAGCCUGAUCCAGCAAUGCCGCGUGCGGGAAGAAGGCCUUCGGGUUGUAAACCGCUUUUGUACGGAACGAAAAGGCUCUGGCUAAUACCUGGGGCUGAUGACGGUACCGUAAGAAUAAGCACCGGCUAACUACGUG
rnacentral:rRNA from 1 species